rnacentral:rRNA from 1 species
AAGGAAUAUUGGUCAAUGGGCGGAAGCCUGAACCAGCCAUGCCGCGUGCAGGAUGACUGCCCUAUGGGUUGUAAACUGCUUUUGUCCAGGAAUAAACCUUUCUACGUGUAGGAAGCUGAAUGUACUGGAAGAAUAAGGAUCGGCUAACUCCGUGCCAGCAGCCGCGGUAAUACGGAGGAUCCGAGCGUUAUCCGGAUUUAUUGGGUUUAAAGGGUGCGUAGGCGGCCUAUUAAGUCAGGGGUGAAAUACGGUGGCUCAACCAUCGCAGUGCCUUUGAUACUGAUGGGCUUGAAUCCAUUUGAAGUGGGCGGAAUAAGACAAGUAGCGGUGAAAUGCAUAGAUAUGUCUUAGAACUCCGAUUGCGAAGGCAGCUCACUAAGCUGGUAUUGACGCUGAUGCACGAAAGCGUGGGGAUCGAACAGGAUUAGAUACCCUGGUAGUCCACGCCCUAAACGAUGAUAACUCGAUGUUGGCGAUAGACAGCCAGCGUCCCAGCGAAAGCGUUAAGUUAUCCACCUGGGGAGUACGCCCGCAAGGGUGAAACUCAAAGGAAUUGACGGGGGCCCGCACAAGCGGAGGAGCAUGUGGUUUAAUUCGAUGAUACGCGAGGAACCUUACCCGGGCUUGAAAGUUAGUGAAGAGUGCAGAGACGCACUCGUCCUUCGGGACACGAAACUAGGUGCUGCAUGGCUGUCGUCAGCUCGUGCCGUGAGGUGUUGGGUUAAGUC